rnacentral:rRNA from 1 species
GUCAACUCGAAGCUGAGCGUUGUCAUCUCGGAGGGGUGUGAAGUCAGAUGUGAAGUCCCGGGUUAANNAGGGAACUGGAUUUGGAACUAGCAAGCUAGAGUCUCGUAGAGGGGGGUAGAAUUCCAGGUGUAGCGGUGAAAUGCGUAGAGAUCUGGAGGAAUACCGGUGGCGAAGGCGGCCCCCUGGACGAAGACUGACGCUCAGGUGCGAAAGCGUGGGGAGCAAACAGGAUUAGAUACCCUGGUAGUCCACGCUGUAAACGAUGUCGAUUUGGAGGUUGUGCCCUUGAGGCGUGGCUUCCGGAGCUAACGCGUUAAAUCGACCGCCUGGGGAGUACGGCCGCAAGGUUAAAACUCAAAAAAAUUGACGGA